CCCAUUCUCCUUGUUUUGUGCCUUUUGGCGGAGCCACUCUAUUCCACUUCGACAUAUAUAUACCAGGCCUUACGAAAGCUUGUACAAAAUUCUGAAGAAACUUUUUAAAACAAAUUUGAAGCAGCUAUGAAGUCAGUUCACAGCUUUAAAAUUUUAGCUGUGCUGACCUUAAUUCUUUUUUUCUUCAUUCUUGAGGAAGCUCCAACGUAUGCGCUUCAAGGAAUGUCACACAACGGCAAUGCACAUCAGCCGAAACUUGAUGUAGGCCCAGGAGGUCAUCAUCGACCGAAUGGAAGUGCUGCGCGACGCCGCAGACGAAAAAAGCGUACGGCACGAAAUCAUGAGGCAGUUGCAUCAUCUACAGGUUCAUCUGCACAGCUAUCCGAUCCAAGACGGCCACACAGACCUCGAAUUACUUGGGUAUGAUGCAAUCUACCAAGGAAGUUUUACUGCAUUAGUCAAGGCUCCUUCUCCGUCAUCCCGCUAUGUUGCUUAUCGAAGCAGGAGAAAGAACGGAACAUUUUGUAGAGGUAAUAUAUCAAUGGCACAAGCAAUAUCAGCCACAGCACAAUUUCAGCUUGCAGAUUCGUGGACUAUCUUUCUUCAAUCACGUCCUGAUUUGACAUCGCAAUAAAGAAAACAACAAAAAAAGGCUGGGGUAUUGGAAAUAAUAAAAGCAUUGAACACGU